GACGAACGCUGGCGGCGUGCUUAACACAUGCAAGUCGAACGGAAAGGCCCUGCUUUUGUGGGGUGCUCGAGUGGCGAACGGGUGAGUAACACGUGAGUAACCUGCCCUUGACUUUGGGAUAACUUCAGGAAACUGGGGCUAAUACCGGAUAGGAGCUCCUGCUGCAUGGUGGGGGUUGGAAAGUUUCGGCGGUUGGGGAUGGACUCGCGGCUUAUCAGCUCGUUGGUGGGGUAGUGGCUUACCAAGGCUUUGACGGGUAGCCGGCCUGAGAGGGUGACCGGCCACAUUGGGACUGAGAUACGGCCCAGACUCCUACGGGAGGCAGCAGUGGGGAAUAUUGCACAAUGGGCGGAAGCCUGAUGCAGCAACGCCGCGUGCGGGAUGACGGCCUUCGGGUUGUAAACCGCUUUCGCCUGUGACGAAGCGUGAGUGACGGUAAUGGGUAAAGAAGCACCGGCUAACUACGUGCCAGCAGCCGCGGUGAUACGUAGGGUGCGAGCGUUGUCCGGAUUUAUUGGGCGUAAAGGGCUCGUAGGUGGUUGAUCGCGUCGGAAGUGUAAUCUUGGGGCUUAACCCUGAGCGUGCUUUCGAUACGGGUUGACUUGAGGAAGGUAGGGGAGAAUGGAAUUCCUGGUGGAGCGGUGGAAUGCGCAGAUAUCAGGAGGAACACCAGUGGCGAAGGCGGUUCUCUGGGCCUUUGCUGACGCUGAGGAGCGAAAGCGUGGGGAGCGAACAGGCUUAGAUACCCUGGUAGUCCACGCUGUAAACGGUGGGUACUAGGUGUGGGGUCCAUUCCACGGGUUCCGUGCCGUAGCUAACGCUUUAAGUACCCCGCCUGGGGAGUACGGCCGCAAGGCUAAAACUCAAAGGAAUUGACGGGGCCCCGCACAAGCGGCGGAGCAUGCGGAUUAAUUCGAUGCAACGCGUAGAACCUUACCUGGGUUUGACAUGGAUCGGGAGUGCUCAGAGAUGGGUGUGCCUCUUUUGGGGUCGGUUCACAGGUGGUGCAUGCCUGUCGUCAGCUCGUGUCGUGAGAUGUUGGGUUAAGUCCCGCAACGAGCGCAACCCUUGUUCACUGUUGCCAGCACGUUAUGGUGGGGACUCAGUGGAGACCGCCGGGGUCAACUCGGAGGAAGGUGGGGAUGACGUCAAGUCCUCAUGCCCCUUAUGUCCAGGGCUUCACGCAUGCUACAAUGGCUGGUACAGAGAGUGGCGAGCCUGUGAGGGUGAGCGAAUCUCGGAAAGCCGGUCUCAGUUCGGAUUGGGGUCUGCAACUCGACCUCAUGAAGUCGGAGUCGCUAGUAAUCGCAGAUCAGCAACGCUGCGGUGAAUACGUUCCCGGG
rnacentral:rRNA from 1 species